rnacentral:rRNA from 1 species
GACGAACGCUGGCGGCGUGCUUAACACAUGCAAGUCGAACGGUGAUGCGGAGCUUGCUUCGCGGAUCAGUGGCGAACGGGUGAGUAACACGUGAGUAACCAGCCCUGGACUCUGGGAUAAGCGUUGGAAACGACGUCUAAUACCGGAUAUGACUUCGGAACGCAUGUUCUGGAGUGGAAAGAAUUUCGGUCUGGGAUGGACUCGCGGCCUAUCAGCUUGUUGGUGGGGUGAUGGCCUACCAAGGCGACGACGGGUAGCCGGCCUGAGAGGGUGACCGGACACGCUGGGACUGACACACGGCCCAGACUCCUACGGGAGGCAGCAGUGGAGAAUAUUGCACAAUGGGCGCAAGCCUGAUGCAGCAACGCCGCGUGAGGGAUGACGGCCUUCGGGUUGUAAACCUCUUUUGGCAGGGAAGAAGCGAAAGUGACGGUACCUGCAGAAAAAGCACCGGCUAACUACGUGCCAGCCGCCGCAGUAACAC